AACGUAGGACGCAAGCGUUAUCCGGAGUUACUGGGCGUAAAGCGCGGGCAGGCGGUCUUGCCAGUCUGAUGUGAAAUCUCCCCGCUCAACGGGGAGCAGCCAUUGGAAACUACAAGACUGGAGUCUGACAGAGGUAGGCGGAAUUCCGGGUGGAGUGGUGAAAUGCGUAGAGAUCCGGAGGAACACCAGAGGCGAAGGCGGCCUACUGGGUCAGUACUGACGCUGAGCCGCGAAAGCCAGGGGAGCGAACGGG
rnacentral:rRNA from 1 species